UCGGGAAUUUUGGGCAAUGGGCGAAAGCCUGACCCAGCAACGCCGCGUGAAGGAUGAAGUAUUUCGGUAUGUAAACUUCGAAAGAAUAGGAAGAAUAAAUGACGGUACUAUUUAUAAGGUCCGGCUAACUACGUGCCAGCAGCCGCGGUAAUACGUAGGGACCAAGCGUUGUUCGGAUUUACUGGGCGUAAAGGGCGCGUAGGCGGCAAUUCAAGUCAUCUGUGAAAUCUCCGGGCUUAACUCGGAACGGUCAGAUGAUACUGCUUUGCUAGAGUGCAGAAGGGGCAAUCGGAAUUCUUGGUGUAGCGGUGAAAUGCGUAGAUAUCAAGAGGAACACCUGAGGUGAAGACGGGUUGCUGGGCUGACACUGACGCUGAGGCGCGAAAGCCAGGGGAGCAAACGGGAUUAGAUACCCCCGUAGUCCCUGAGCGGGCUGGCAAGGCGCAU
rnacentral:rRNA from 1 species